UAAACGAUGCCAACUGACGAUCCGUGGUGGUAGUAUUUUAACCAUCCCCACGGGCAGUCCCCGGGAAACCUUUAAGUCUUUGGGUUCCGGGGGAAGUAUGGUUGCAAAGCUGAAACUUAAAGGAAUUGACGGAAGGGCACCACCAGGAGUGGAGCCUGCGGCUUAAUUUGACUCAACACGGGAAAACUCACCCGGCCCGGACACUGUGAGGAUUGACAGAUUGAUAGCUCUUUCUUGAUUUGGUGGUUGGUGGUGCAUGGCCGUUCUUAGUUGGUGGAGCGAUUUGUCUGGUUAAUUCCGAUAACGAACGAGACUCUAGCCUGCUAAUUAGUACGCCUGUCCUCUGUUCCUGUGCUGGCGGUGCUUUGGCGAAACUGCUCACAUAUGUCGACUGCUAUCGGGACGCGUUCUUGCGUAUGCCGCGAGCUCCUCGUGGGCGAGUGGUGUGCGUAGGGGCGUGAACUGUGGUAGGAGGCGUGUGCGGUGGGUCCGGUGCUUGCCUCCGGGUACGGCGCAGGUGUGUCUACUUCUUAGAGGGACAAGCAUUACGAAUGUGUACGAAAUUGAGCAAUAACAGGUCUGUGAUGCCCUUAGAUGUCCGGGGCCGCACGCGCGCUACAAUGACGGUGCCAACGAGUCUGACCUUCUGGCCCGAAAGGGUUGGGCAAACUGGUCAAUCACCGUCAUGACAGGGAUCGGGGCUUGGAAUUGUUCCCCGUGAACGAGGAAUUCCUAGUAAGUGCAAGUCAUAAGCUUGCGCUGAUUACGUCCCUGCCCUUUGUACACACCGCCCGUCGCUACUACCGAUUGAAUGGUUUAGUAAGGUCCUCGGAUUGGCGCCAUUGCAGUAUCAGCCGCAAGGUUGGUGCUCGACAGGUGCCGAGAAGACGACCAAACUUGAUCAUUUAGAGGAAGUAAAAG
rnacentral:rRNA from 3 species